ensembl:lncRNA
AAAAACGAUACUCAGGGUUGAGUAACCCCGAACUGUCCAACUCGGAAUAUUCGGUUUCAGAAAGGCUGAUAACAAUUAGUUCAGUCAACGCGGAGUUGCUUAAACCCCAAGUUAAGCGCACGCACGAGGAUACAUAAAGCCCUGAUUAGUGGAGCACAGAUUAAGCGAGUCACCAUGGAGACGGAGGGAAAGAAGGCGCGGUCAAUGUAUUGUACAGCGCUUGAGGCCGAAAUUCUGAUGGCAGCAUAUGCCGAUAACAUGCAAAUUUUGCAGAAAAAAAGUAACACAGCCUCAGCUGCAAAAGAAAGGGAGCAUGCAUGGCAAAACAUAGCCGACAGAGUCAAUGCGUGAGUGUUAAUUUAAACAUUGAUCUAGGGAUUUCCACCCAUUUAACACGUUAUUUUAUUAUAUUUUAUUUUAUUUUUUAUUUCAUACAUUUUAAUUUUUGUGAUGUGAGCGCAGGUGCAACCCAACAGGCCCCAAACGUUCCUGGCAGCAAGUAAAAAUGAAAUAUAAAAAUAUAGUCCAAACAGGUAAGGUGUAAUUGUAUUAUGAGCCAUAGUGCUUGGUCUGUUUGUCCGAUGUAAAUCAAUUGCAGUUAGAGGCUACAUUAAUUUCCCCUCUGUAAGCACUUAUUGAAAUUAUCUGAGCACAUUACAAGUACAUAUUUGCUUACUCUGUAUGCUCAAAUGUGACCCGUUAUAGCCAACAGAAAAAAAGCGGAGGCGCGAAAAACAGGUGGGGGUCCUCCACCACCACCACUCACAGAGGCUGAGCAGUUGGCCCUCAGCCAAAACAGUGGGCGCCCUGUGGCCGAAGGCAUCUCUGCGGGGACAUCCUCUGAGUCAAUAACCCCGCAAGACACAAGUGCCUACAUAGGGGGUAAAUUCAAAAUAAUACAUGAUGUGCAUACAUCCUUUCUUCACAGUCACCUUUGCAGUGCUACUCAUUCAUUUGAUAAACUCUUUACCAUAAUGGAUUAUUUUGUAGUGAAGUUAUUUUCCUACUGAUUUUGCCUUCCCUCAGUCUUGGUUGUCUUUGAGAGCAUAAUGACAAUGAAGUGUAAGGUGAUAGGUAUGUUUGUUAAUUGCCAUUUGGUCCCUUGUAAGUUAUAAGUGACCUGUAUAAACCUCAUAUUCUAUCAGUUGAUGGUGGUGGUGUACUGCAUCUGGUGCAGCCUCCUGUUUUGUUUUUUUUGUUUUUUUUUUUUUUUUUGUGUCCCGUUUGGAUCUUUGGCCAUCAGAAUUGUUGUCUUAAGGCGAAGAAAGAUGCCAAGCGGAUUUCUUUUACCAAGUGGAUCAUCAUGGCCUUGCCAUAUUGGUCCAUUUGAUUGACCUUUAUUCUAAUUAUGAAUUUAUUUUAUUUUCAGUUGCUACAAACGGGACAGACAUAACUGGGGGAUAGGACAGGGAGAGAGAAUGAAAGAAAGAGAGGGAGAGAGAGAAAAACAAAGGGGAGAAGAGACGGUGAGAAGGGGGGGAAGAAAGAAAAAAACAAACAAACAAAAAAAACAAAACACCUGGGUCACCUGUAUGGAGAAAAAAAAACAGAAGAGAAAGCAAACAACAAGGAGCAACAUAAUAAAAAAAAAUGGCACCAUCACAAUAAACUAGCUAGCAGUAGAUAUCAGUAGAUACUAAAUAAUAAACGAUAUUGUGCAGCACGCAAGAUAGACAGCGCACAAUGUGCUUUGAGGCAGCAGCCAAGAAAGCUGUAAUCCGCGUCUGUGAAUACCCGUGUGUACACCUGUGUGCAUACCUGUAUGUAUCAGCAUGGUUGUAUUCCAAAGGUUUCUCCAUGUAACGAUCUGCUAGGGAGUGUGGGGAGCCAAAGCCCCGUCCUCCAGGGUAUGAAGCAGGUAUGGAGGAGAUCAAAACUCCAGACAUCCAGAGACCCCCAGAACACAAGAGACCACGGAAGACCAACAGAGGGGCAGCCGCGCCACUGUCCCAGUAAGAGCUGAGGAGAGUCCCAGAUGCGUGUUCACUCAGCAGCCGCGGAGCAGAAGCCAGGGGGAGUUGCAGUGACGCGCCCAUGAGCUGUGCAGCCUCCUGUUGAGCCAGACCAACAUGCAGUUGUGAGUAAUACUCCACAGAUUAUAUGAGUUUACAGUAGAACAGCAAUGUUGUUAAUUUCUUUACUACAGGAAAAUAAUGAAGAAACAUUGACAGCUGUUACAGAGGAGGAAGCAACAAAUCAAAUUCAAAUUCAAAUUCAAAUUUUAUUUGUCACGUACACAGUCAUACACAGUACGAUAUGCAAUGAAAUGCUUGGACAACUGCUCGUGACCUAAAGAGAACAAAAAAGGAAAAGGCUAUGAAUAAGAUAGGAAAUAAAUAUGAAAAAUUAAAAAGGGUAAAUUUAACUAGGAAGGAAUAAAAUAUAAAUUAAGGUUAAAAAUGAAAUAACUGUACAACACAAAUUAGAAUGAAGGGUAAAUUUAACUGGAAAGAAUAAGAUAAAGAUAAAUAUAUAAAUUAAAGUUGAAAAUAAAAUAACUAUACAACAAAAUACACAAUAUAGAACUAUAUAAGAAUGUAUGAAGAAAUCUAAAUAUAAAUAAAUAUAUACACAAUAACAGCAGCUGUACAAGUAUUAACCGGAAAUGAAGAAUAUAGUGACCAGUGUUGUGCAAAACCAAAGUCCAGAAAGUCCAGUGUGUGUGUAAGAACCAUAUGUGUGGGUCAGUACUGUGUGGUGGUGUGAUUGAGAGACCGU